AUCUUUGCGCUUGGGGCAAUGACACAGCUAGUGAGGUUCUAACCGAGGCGCGUCUAUUGCU
rnacentral:snRNA from 1 species